rnacentral:rRNA from 1 species
AGUUUGAUCCUGGCUCAGGACGAACGCUGGCGGCGUGCUUAACACAUGCAAGUCGAACGAGAGGACAAGAGAAGCUUGCUUCUUUUGGAAUCGAGUGGCAAACGGGUGAGUAACACGUAAACAACCUGCCUUCAGGAUGGGGACAACAGACGGAAACGACUGCUAAUACCGAAUACGCUUGGAAGACCGCAUGAUCUUCCAAGGAAAGGGUGGCCUCUACCUGUAAGCUAUCGCCUGAAGAGGGGUUUGCGUCUGAUUAGGCAGUUGGUGAGGUAACGGCCCACCAAACCUACGAUCAGUAGCCGGUCUGAGAGGAAGGUCCCCCACAUUGGAACUGAGACACGGUCCAAACUCCUACGGGAGGCAGCAGUGAGGAAUAUUGGUCAAUGGACGAGAGUCUGAACCAGCCAAGUAGCGUGAAGGAUGAAGGUCCUACGGAUUGUAAACUUCUUUUAUAAGGGAAUAAACCCUCCCACGUGUGGGAGCUUGUAUGUACCUUAUGAAUAAGCAUCGGCUAACUCCGUGCCAGCAGCCGCGGUAAUACGGAGGAUGCGAGCGUUAUCCGGAUUUAUUGGGUUUAAAGGGAGCGCAGACGGGUCGUUAAGUCAGCUGUGAAAGUUUGGGGCUCAACCUUAAAAUUGCAGUUGAUACUGGCGUCCUUGAGUGCGGUUGAGGUGUGCGGAAUUCGUGGUGUAGCGGUGAAAUGCUUAGAUAUCACGAAGAACUCCGAUUGCGAAGGCAGCACACUAAUCCGUAACUGACGUUCAUGCUCGAAAGUGUGGGUAUCAAACAGGAUUAGAUACCCUGGUAGUCCACACGGUAAACGAUGGAUACUCGCUGUUGGCGAUAUACUGUCAGCGGCUUAGCGAAAGCGUUAAGUAUCCCACCUGGGGAGUACGCCGGCAACGGUGAAACUCAAAGGAAUUGACGGAAGGGCG